AUCUAUCUCUGCAAAACCCGGGGGAGUUCACCAAAAGUAGGAGUAUUAAUAUGAGACUGAUCCUAAAAGGUCUGUGUUUGCAGACCCAUUUUGCAUUAUAACUAAGAAUUGAACAUUGGCUACUUCAAUGCAGUGAGAUCACAAAGCAUACAUGCUCCUGUUUCUAUCUGUUCACUUGGAUAUGGGAUUAAACACACAAUUGCAGUGAAUAAAACAACUGAAUUGGAAAAUAUCCGCUAACAUAGCAAAGCUGUGAUUUUUCCAAAUCAGCUAUUUUUGCCUAAAUUAUUUACUUUGGUUUAUAAUCCACUAUAGCUUACAAUGCAACCACCGCACUUUCCAAGUAGAAGCCUAAACAGGCAUGUCCACGACAUCUAGAACACCUACAUCGAUCAACCACAACUGUUCUAAAAAGCGGUCUCAAGAACUAAAAGUGGGAAAAUAGUAUGGAAACCAGCAGGCACACUAAAUUGGUGACUCUUCCCUUUGAUGGUUUUGCAAAAUGUCUUUGAACAGGACACUUUGAUAAAU